rnacentral:lncRNA from 1 species
CCUUUUUAAGUCUUAGGUAGUCUUCCUCAAGCAUCUUCGAUAGCCUUUCUCAAGACUAGUUCUUUCUUAUACCAUUGACUUUAUAGAUCUAAAAGUCUUAAGAUGCAUUUCUGUUUGAAUCUUCCUCAUUUUGUGUUCUUUGACUGGUUUUAUAUUCCAAGUCAUAGCUAGGAAGAUCACAAAAGGCACCCUAACUCUUUCUUCCUUACUUUUCUCUUGACUCAAACAUGUUUUGUACCUUUUCAAAGCACUGUCUCCCUGAAGUCUUUUUGGGCUAAUACUUCUAUUGGCAAUCAUUUUAAGAGACCUUCUUUCCCUUAAGUCAUACUAAUAAUUUUACCUUUAUAAUGUCUUGCAUUCUAUUAUCUUAGUAGCAUUUAUUGUUAGUAUUUUUAUCAUUAGACAUCUGUUGCUAGGUAUCCGAGGCUUGGUUCUAUUUUCCCAGUUCCACUUGAAACUAGUGUCAGCAGCAGUGCAUAUUUGGUGCAGCUUUCUCAGGGUCAAGUUCAGUUCUUUAACAUGUUAGUGGACACUAAAUGAAUGGUUGUUGACUUGGUCGUCAGUUAACAGGUGGCAUCCAAGGUAACCAGAAUCCACCUGGAGUUAACUUUAUUCUCCUCAUGUCAAAGGUAGUGCUUCAAUGGACAUUGAUACUUGACAUGUGGCUGGAGCUUUUGAUUCUACCGAAAAA